GUGCCAGCAGCCGCGGUAAAACGUAGGACGCAAGCGUUAUCCGGAGUUACUGGGCGUAAAGCGCGGGCAGGCGGUUCUGCCAGUCUGAUGUGAAAUCUCCUCGCUCAACGGGGAGCAGCCAUUGGAAACUACAGAACUGGAGUCUGACAGAGGUAGGCGGAAUUCCGGGUGGAGUGGUGAAAUGCGUAGAGAUCCGGAGGAACACCAGAGGCGAAGGCGGCCUACUGGGUCAGUACUGACGCUGAGCCGCGAAAGCCAGGGGAGCGAACGGGAUUAGAUACCCCCGUAGUCC
rnacentral:rRNA from 1 species